CUUUAUAGUCAGCAUUCAAAAAAGGAUUUAAAUCGUUAUUUCGAUUUUGUCUCUGACAAUCUGACAGAUUCGUGCAUAUUCUGUUACAAGUAGGUUAUGUCGUCACAAGUGUUUAUUCAUUUCUAAUGCGGUUUUUAUUUAUAAAAAGAUGGAAAUAUUCUACAAAUCUCUGAUUAUUGCGUACUUUACAAUAUAUCUUGUUGUUCUAUCGGACACUUCCAAUACUGGUAAGUUAGGAUAUUUUUUCUCUUUGAAAAUGUAAACUAGAAUGCUAUGUAUCAAUAGCAAGGGUGUGCUAAGAUAAACAACAACACAGUAAAUAAACUCACCAUAGAUACCAGAUUUGCAUAUUUGCACACCAGACGCGCGUUUCGUCUACAUAAUGAAGCCAACCUAAGUUCCCAAUAAAUCAAUCAAUAAAAUUCCACACGAAAAAGAUAAGACCAAAUAAAGAAACAACAGCGCAUGACGAAAAAGGACAAGAGCAAACGAAACACUGAAAUUCUAGAAGUUGGACAGUCCGAAACAUAAAAUACUUUUUUUAUGUAGUCCUGACGAUAUAGAAAUUGUUUAUCUCCAUUAGUAGAUCUUCAGUAACUCAAAGUUAGCGGCUAACAUAUCAUGCGUAUUGAGGAUAUGUAGCAAUCAUUAAAAAGCAGGAUAGGGGUCAGAUUACACAGAGUAGAGUUUAGAUAGAUAUUUUACAGGAUGUCUCUCACACUGGGUCAGUUCGAAAGGAAAGUCGUAUGUUUUCUCAUUUUUACAGAAUGUCAACAAUCUACCAUGUUCACUUGAUUUAAAGUCUGGAAUUACAGAAAAAGUUGCAAGUGAAAGGACUGAAAAAGUUAAACUGCCAGUAACUUCGUGACAUCCAUUUUGAACCAGAUUAAAGAAUCAUAUCAGUUACCCCAUAUAAAAUCUUUUGUCUUCCUAUAAUGAAAAAAUGUUUUUCAACAAAAUUAGCAACUUUUAAAAAAAAAAAACCGGAUUUAAAGUAUGCAAGAAAAAUUAUUUGGUUCAGUACCCAUAUUGAAUUUGUGGUAAGGAAAUGAGAUAUGUGAAUUAAAAAAAAUGAACUAAUAAAUGAAUAGAUUAAAUAGCAAGUUCAUUUUACAUAUGGUAAUACCGACGGUGCAAAGGCUGUAUAGCCAGCCAAGGUAGUUUAAAAAAUUCCAUAUAUAUACAUAUGUUUAUUUGAUAAAUAUUUUGAGGAUUGCGCGUAUAUUGGUUUGCUUCGUUUAUGAGACAGUAAUAUAUACAUCACUUGUUUGUUUUAAAACUACGAGAAAUUAACAAGCAGGUAUGAAGAAUAUAGACUUAAAGGACGACAAUUUUAUUUUUUGAGAGGGGAGAAGAAUUUGAAAUGUAUAUCUGGGCCAGGUAAAGAUUGAAUGUUCCGAUAGAACAUAUUUUAAUGAAUUCCUUAAUAUUGAUCAACUUUGUCAUAUUGUCCAUUCAUGAUAAAGUACUAAAAACAAGCGAAUGUUUAUACUAGAUUUAUUCAUUAUCUAAAUAGAUUCUUCACACAAUACUCAUAUUUAUUUUCAAAUAAACUCCCGUGCCAGUAAUAUAUUCGACAAGGAAGACUUAGUAUUACUUUUCUAAAGCUUAAAACAUGCAAAGAUUCAAUAGAGUACUAGGAAUAUCGUUCUCAUACAACAUGCAAAGAUUCAAUAGAGUUCUGAAAAUCUUUCUUAUACAACAAGAAAGAUUCAAUAGAGUUCCAGGAAUAUCUUUCUCAUACAACAAGAAAGAUUCAAUAGAGUUCUAUAAAUAUCUUUCUCAUACAACAAGAAAGAUUCAAUAGAGUUCUAGGAAUAUCUAUCUCAUACAACAAGAAAGAUUCAAUAGAGUUCUAGGAAUAUCAUUCUCAUACAACAAGAAAGAUUCAAUAGAGUUCUAGGAAUAUAUCUUUCUCAUACAACAAGAAGAUUCAAUAGAGUUCUAGGAAUAUCUUUCUCAUACAACAAGAAAGAUUCAAUAGAGUUCUAGGAAUAUCUUUCUCAUACAACAAGAAAGAUUCAAUAGAGUUCUAGGAAUAUCUUUCUCAUACAACAAGAAAGAUUCAAUAGAGUUCUAGGAAUAUCUAUCUCAUACAACAAGAAAGAUUCAAUAGAGUUCUAGGAAUAUCAUUCUCAUACAACAAGAAGAUUCAAUAGAGUUCUAGGAAUAUCUUUCUCAUACAACAAGAAAGAUUCAAUAGAGUUCUAGGAAUAUCUUUCUCAUACAACAAGAAGGAUUCAAUAGAGUUCUAGGAAUAUCUUUCUUAUACAACAAGAAAGAUUCAAUAGAGUUCUAGGAAUAUCUUUCUCAUACAACAAGAAAGAUUCAAUAGAGUUCUAGGAAUAUCUUUCUCAUACAACAAGAAAGAUUCAAAAGAGUUUUAGGAAUAUCAUUCUCAUACAACAAGAAAGAUUCAAUAGAGUUCUAGGAAUAUCAUUCUCAUACAACAAGAAAUAAGGAAAGAUAAAAGGUUUUUUCUUGACAUCUCGGUUUUCAAUAUAAACUCCAUAUAUCUUUCUUGACAUCUCGGUAUUCAAUAUAAACUCCAUAUAUCUUUCUUGACAUCUCGGUAUUCUAUAUAAACUCCAUAUAUCUUUUAAACUCCAUAUAUCUUUCUUGACAUCUCGGUAUUCUAUAUAAACUCCAUAUAUCUUUCUUGACAUCUCGGUAUUCUAUAUAAUUCCAUAUAUCUUUCUUGACAUCUCGGUAUUCUAUAUAAACUUCAUAUAUCUUUUUUCACAUCUCGGUAUUCAAUAUAAACUCCAUAUAUCUUUCUUGACAUCUCGGUAUUCAAUAUAAACUCCAUAUAUCAAUACAGAGAUAAGCCUGUUUUUGUAUUAAACUUAAAUGUUUGUUAACCUAGUGUAAAAAAUAUUUUAAUUUCAAAACAUAAUAUGCAAACUUAUAUAUGGAAUCUACAAGAUUAGAGAAAAGCAACCAAUCCUUAAGAAAGAAAAAAAAAAUAGGCUAACAACUUAAAUAAUAUACCUUUUCUUACAUUGAUUUUUUUUUCAGUUCAGUGAUCAAAAUUAACUUUUGUUUGAAACACUAAGGCCACACCAAUUUGAUUCCUUGUUCGACGGACCCGCCCGCACCUAUUUUUUUCAAAACAAUUUUUUUAUUUUUUUAUAUUCCCGCUUCCCGCAUCCGGAAAUGUAAUCAUGUCCAUUUCCCGCACCGUUUUUUUUUUGUUUUAUAAAAAAUAUCAACAUUUGUUUUUAAAAUCACAUUCUAACCUGUAUAUAAUGAUUUUAAACAUAAAAGCACCCCUCCACACUUUGUAAAUAUCUGUGAGAAUAUUUGUUUCAGCAUGAAACAUAUUUAUCUAAAGCGGGAGUGCUCCGAUAUAAAUUUAUAACAGCGGGAUACCUGUAAAGAACAAAAAAAAUGGUUCUUUCCCCCUUACUUAUAUUCCCUAUCAAAAAAUUUUCGUGUUAGAAUAAAUAAAAGAACUUCUGAAGAUUUGCCUUCAACUGCAAUUAUAUUGUAUGCUGGCGAAACAAAACUAUACAUAGCCGCUGCAUGUUAUGUACCUGUCCUGAUUGAUUCAGGAGCCUGUCGUUCAUCAGUUAUCGUUUGUAGAUGUGGUUCAUUGGUAUUUUCCCGUUUGGAUAUAUAUAUAUAAAUUAGAUCGUUGGUUUCCGUUCGAAUUGUGUACACCAAUAAUUUUGGGGUCCUUUAAGCUUGCUGUUUGGUCUGGAUCAAAGCCCUUGGUAAAAGCCGUACUUUGACCUGUGUUUGUUAUUAUCAGGUUGAGAACAACCCUCCCUCAGACAAGGGGUCAUUUUACUGAUGUAGAAAAGAAAAUAGAAAUACCAAGGAUUUGUAUAGUUCUUCUAUACAAAACCUUUGAAAACUUAGAAUUUUGUACUCAAAAAGAGGAGAGUAACAUCACAUUUUAAACAACUUUUUCUAAAAGAGGGGUCCACUUAUUUUGAAUAAUAUUAAACUGUUAAAGUAAAUGUGUCAAUGGUUCAAGUCCAGGAAUAUUACAAAAUUCUUGGACAUGUUUUGACCAUUUAAUACCAGAUAGAUAUAUAGUUCUUUGAGAAAAUAUGAGCCCUUUUGUACAAACAAAUAUAUUAUAAUUUAUAGUGAUCCCUCAUAAAACAUGUAAAAGGGAUAUUUAUAUCAUUAAGGGGUUGUCCCCAAACUGAUUAUGACUUGGAUGGAGAAUUGUCUCAUAGUCAGUCACGCAUACAUAGACCAGAUGUAAUUAUUUCUUGGUGAACAGGGAAAAAUACUUCAGAAAUUAAAGAAAUGUCAAAGUACAAGUUAGAAAUCAAGCUUUAAUAUUGUCAAAACCUACUAUUUUAUGUUUACAAAAAAAAAAUUAUAAUCGCUCGCCUUUACUUUUCAGCUUCGCCUCAAAAAUUUGCAAAUUAAAUAUUUUUUUUAUUAAAAUUUUCAAAUCGCUCGCUCGCCCCAAAUUUUGGAGUCCAAAAAUCCGUAGAACAAGAAAUUAAAUUGGUGUGGCCUAAUGUAUAAAAUUAGAAUCUUUUAACGUGAAUUGAAUGCAGAGUUUUAGACUGGCAGAAAAUUAAAGCAGCACAACUAAAUAUGGACCAUAUUAGUUAAAUGUCAUUGAUCAUAAUUGAUCAUAAUUAUGAAGAAAAAAAUCCAUUUACCUAUUUUGAAAUUCCUAACCAGUCAAAACAAGUUAAAAAAAUUCCCAAAUUCUACCUUCUCUGUAUGGACACUGGUGAGUGAUCCACUCGAUGUAUUUGAUUAUAUAUAUAUAAUUAUUAAAAGGACAGUUUAAGGUCGUUUUGGAUUGAAGAUAGAUAAUGAGAUUUCUCUACCCCUCAUAAAUAAUUUCUUCACUUCUAUUUCAUUUUUUUCCAUUUGUUUUGUGUGUGUGUGUGUGUGUGUGUGUGUGUGUGUGUAUUUGUAAAUGAAUAUAUAAAUCUCUAUAUUUACAUACGUUCAGGUCACAAAAUGGUCACAAUUAAUAUGCCUCGUACUACUUACAGUAUUCUUCAAAAUAUCAACCAGUACUGUAAAUCAAAUGAAAUUUUGGGUGCUGGUAGGAUAUAAAAACAUCUAUCUCCAGAAAAAACUCUGAUAUAGACAUAGAACACAAAAUGUUCUGAGUAUUUUUUUUUUAAGAUAGUGGGCACCUAUUUAUCAUCUGUCCAGAUCAAAAUUCUUCCAUUACUUAUGUUUAAAUGGAUUUAAAAAAUCAAAUAAUAGAAGAACAAUAUUUUUUCAAAUAAAAUUUUAUCCAUCACUUGUGUUUAAAUGAAUUCCAUAAAUUAGAAGGAGUCAUUUUAUUUGGCCUGAAGUUUCAAUGUCGAAUAACAUCAAAGACGAAUGGAUGGUACACAUUGUUUGUCUUCGUUAGAAGAUACGACGAGGUCAAUAUUCGGAUAAAAACUUAAUGAUAGUAUAAUAAGAGAUGCAAAAUUACAUUUUUUUUACAUACAAAUUUUUUAAUGUUUCGAUUCAAUAGUUAUGAAGGGUUACAAAUACAAAACUCAGACUCUGUUGUAUGAAUAUCACAAAGUAUCUGUUUUGCUAGGAAACAUAGGUGAAUAAUGUCAUUAAGCACUGACAUUUUAUUAGAGGCAUUAAAAGUUGAAGCAAGGAAACAUAUUUAUAACAAAGACGUAGGAAUUGUCAGUGCUAAAUGGGAUACAAAUUUCAAAAUAAAUUUUCUGAUACUCAAAUUUAACUGUUGAUAAUUGCACAUUAACACUACGUUUUAUUAUUUCAAAGUAGUUAUUCAAUGAGAUUUGUAUCGCAUGUUUAAAGGAGUAUUGUUUGUACGAAUCUUAUAAUCAAUGCAGAAAAGUUUGAUUGAAUGUCAUCCGGGUAUACGUUUAAAAAUCAAAACGAAAAACAAAGUUUUUGUUAACUGUAUGCAUUUAGCAACAGUAAAUGAUGAUUAAAGCAUUGUAUAUUAAAAACAACAUUAAAAACCAUGAAAUAAAAUAAUUACUUAUACAAAUAUAUACCAGGCUUAGUCUCUUGUAUGCCGGAUGCGCGGUGCGUACACAAAAGACUCAACAGUUACGCUCCAAUAAAAAAGUAAGAGCCAAAUGAAGUACAGAGUUUUAAUAAAAGAUCAAUAGCUCUGAAAGGUUUUGCCGAAUACAGCAAAUAUAAUACUUUCUUGGGGGAACCUAUCCUUGCAAAAAUUUUAGUAAACUGUUGAUUUUUUAAUAAUGACUAUAUCAAAUGAUAGUUGAUGUCAAUGUAACACAAAAGUGCUGACUACUGGGUUGGUUAUAUUAUAGAGGAUGAAACCUCCACAAGGAGUGAAAUCAAGCUAGUGGUUGUACCUAAAGUCAUCAUAUAUACCAGGCUUAAAAUUGUGUAUUUUUUAUCAAUUUUUCAUGCCUUACUCAUUCACUCGUUUUCGUGUUGAAUAUAUUUGAAAUAUUGCAAGUGUUGUUUUUAAGCGACCACAAAUGAUAAUCAUUUAAUCAACUCUUCAUUUGAUUUAUUUGUAGCGUGUUCGUGUCCCUGCAAUACUGUUGGUAGAACCUGGCAACAUUUACUCAGUUUAAAUAUGACGGAAGAGGAAUUAGUUAUUUACCUACAUGAAUAUCUACAAGACCUGCAGCAAAACAUUACUAUUGAUCCCAAAACCACGUCUUCAUACAUCAAUUCCAAAACCUCAGCAUCAGACAGUCGUUCUUCCUCUGCUGUAAUUGGCUGGUUCGGUGGAGUAAUGAUGUGUGUGCCAAUAAUUCUAUGUCUGUGUUCAGAUUUCUGCCGAUGUUCUCAUAUCAAGAAGUCUAAAGAAGAAUAAUGAUACUAUAGAUAGGUUUGUUUAGUUUUGAUAAUGAUAGAAACUGGUUAUGUUUUGAACUGCACCAUGACAUGAAAAAUAACAACAGCAAGUGAAAAGGAAAAGAAAAACUUAUAUUUUGUUGAUUUUUAAUAAAUGUGCGCCUAUCGAUCAUUAUAGAAGGAAUACUUCGAUGAUCCUUUGUUUUUCUCUUAAAGAAUCGAAUGCAGAUACCAUGAUUUACAGGGUCAUUCAUAUAAGAUAAAUAAAGGCAACAGUAGUAUUCUGCUGUUCGAUGAACUACUUGGAUGAUACUGGGGUUUUCCCUGAUAGAAUUGGAUGCAUAUGUUAGAAUUAACAGGAUCAUUUUCGAGUAGACAAACAAUUAACUUCGAGUCAUAAAUAGGGGGAAAAUUAACUCUUUUACAAUUUCACGCUUGAAACAAGUAUUAUAUAGUUUCUCUGCAAGG
rnacentral:lncRNA from 1 species